rnacentral:rRNA from 1 species
UACGUAGGGGGCAAGCGUUGUCCGGAUUUAUUGGGCGUAAAGAGCGUGUAGGCGGCCACACAGGUCAGCUGUGAAAACUCGAGGCUCAACCUCGAGACGUCGGUUGAAACCGUAUGGCUAGAGUCCGGAAGAGGAGAGUGGAAUUCCCGGUGUAGCGGUGAAAUGCGCAGAUAUCGGGAAGAACACCCCGUGGCGAAGGCGGCUCUCUGGGACGGUACUGACGCUGAGACGCGAAAGCGUGGGGAGCGAACAGG